rnacentral:rRNA from 1 species
UCGAGGGGCAUCGGGAUGUAGCAAUACCUUGAUGGCGACCGGCGCACGGGUGAGUAACGCGUAUGCAACCUGCCUGAUACCGGGGUAUAGCCCAUGGAAACGUGGAUUAACACCCCAUAGUACUUUUAUCCUGCAUGGGAUGUGAGUUAAAUGUUCAAGGUAUCGGAUGGGCAUGCGUCCUAUUAGUUAGUUGGCGGGGUAACAGCCCACCAAGACGAUGAUAGGUAGGGGUUCUGAGAGGAAGGUCCCCACAUUGGAACUGAGACACGGUCCAAACUCC